GUAGGGUGCGAGCGUUGUCCGGAAUUAUUGGGCGUAAAGAGCUCGUAGGCGGUGUGUCACGUCGAUCGUGAAAACUUACAGCUUAACUGUGAGCGUGCGGUCGAUACGGGCAUCACUGGAGUUCGGCAGGGGAGACUGGAAUUCCUGGUGUAGCGGUGAAAUGCGCAGAUAUCAGGAGGAACACCGGUGGCGAAGGCGGGUCUCUGGGCCGAUACUGACGCUGAGGAGCGAAAGCGUGGGGAGCGAACAGGAUUAGAUACCCUGGUAGUCCACGCCGUAAACGUUGGGCGCUAGGUGUGGGGGCCAUUCCACGGUCUCUGUGCCGCAGCUAACGCAUUAAGCGCCCCGCCUGGGGAGUACGGCCGCAAGGCUAAA
rnacentral:rRNA from 1 species